UGGUUACACACAUUAGUAGCAGUCGGGCGUUGACUGUCAUUCCGCUGACAGGUAAAAUCAAAAGAAAAAAAUAUGGGCAUUUAUGUAUAACGUUACAUGCACAUUCGUGCACCUGUGUGAACACCCUCGGUAUCACUUGGGCCACAUAAUAUUUCUUAUUCACUGUUUUCCGGCAUUGAUAUGUAUUAAAUAUCAAAAUGUCAGUGAAUCUGACGAAAAAUCAAGAAUCGCUUAGCGCUGCAUGGCGAAGCGUAGUCGACGACAAAUCCACCACAGAUUGGGCUCUAUUUAGUUACGAAGGUCAAAGUAACGAUUUGAAGGUAGUCAGCACAGGAGAUGGAGGACUACAAGAAAUGAUCGAAGAAUUAAACAGUGGCAAAAUAAUGUACGCAUUCUGCCGUGUCAUUGAUGAAAAAACAAGUCUGCCAAAAUGUGUUUUGAUAAAUUGGCAGGGAGAAGGGGCGCCAAUAGUGAGGAAAGGAACAUGCGCUAAUCACAUCAGGGAUAUAGAAAAACUGUUAAAAGGAGCUCAUGUAACUAUAAAUGCACGUACAGAAGAAGAGGUCGAAGUUGACCUAAUAAUGGACAAAUUAGCCCGUGCCACUGGCUCCAGCUAUAAGUUUAAUGAACCUCGAGGUGAAAAUGGUGGCCAAUUAGGUCCGGUCGGCACCACGUACCGCAGAGUGAUACCUGAACAGGAAAUAAAUGCCAGCGAACGUGACCAGUUCUGGCAGCGAGAGGAACUCGAGGAAAAACAAAGACUUGAAGAAGAGCGUUUACGACGAGACCAGGAACGUCUAAAACUUGAACUAGAACGUCGUUCUAGAGAAGAAAAAGAAAGCGAGCUUAGAGAUGCUCAGGUUACAGCUAAGGAAAGUAUAGUAACAAAACACAGACAAGCAGAGUUACGAGCUGAAGAGAUCACAAAUUUCCGAAAUCAACAGAACACUGAAACUCAACGAAGCACUGACUCAGAUGAAGAAAGAAAAUCGCGCAGCGAAGAAUUACGUAGGCAACGUAGUAAAGAAACACAGCAACUUAUCGCGCAGCGAACGAUAAAUGCGAGAGCUGUUUUUGAGCAAAAUACAGCAGCUGGCCAAAUGAAGAGCAUGUCAUUUGUCCCAAAGGCUAGUGAGCUUGAAACUCGUGUCGAAUCGAACAAUAUUGUUAAUCGGAACAUGGAAAGUGUUAGUGAAGUAAAUACUGACCCACAAAUACCAAUUGAAAAUGUCGGGAAAAUAAUAGGAACAGAGCCAGGAAUCCCGCAAUCUCAGGUUGACGCUCCACUAGCAGCGCAGAUUACUGCCUCUCCACAAAGUCAACCCAAGGAUAGUAAAUCGCAUAAUGCUCAGCCUGAUAUAGAAGAGACUGCAGAGCUCAACGUUCAGGAGACCGAAACUGAGCUAUAUAACCAGCUGGAAGAAGGCUCGUACGUUUAUUUCGACCCGAAUAACGAAGGAAUGAAAGCAAGAGCUCUCUACGAUUACCAAGCUGCUGAUAAUACCGAGAUUACAUUCGACCCUGGAGAUGUAAUCACGCAUAUUGACGCAAUAGAUGAAGGAUGGUGGCAAGGGUUAGGACCCGAUGGAACCUAUGGUUUAUUUCCAGCAAAUUACGUAGAAGUUAUUGAGUAAUAUUUCCAAUGAAAUAUAUAUUUACGUUUGAUGGCAGCUUGCCGGCGGUGACAACUUUGCACUGUGUAUGGUAUUCCUGUUCAAGAAUUUUACAGCAGACACUGGGGAGGGUCAAAAACUACUUUGCUGAUUUUCACUGUUUCUUACUCCUGCAUUGUUGUGUAAUCGUGGAAGAUGAAGCUAGCGGGAGUUAUCGUGUCCAGCGCGAAAAUACAGGCUCUCCGAAAACCAGUUCAGAACAACUGAGUUUUCAACAUUUUUUGAUAAAAAUUUUACGAAACACAGUUCAAAAGGUUGGUCUCUCACAUACCUCAAGUUUGAUUAAAAUAAUUCUUCUAUUAUAUUUAAAAAAAAAUAAGAAAAAAUGGAUUAUUUCAAAGUUCAAAACCCACGUAACCCCUUAAAAUGAUCAGACUAUGUCUGGCCGUAUUUUUAUAAUUGUUUAGCCUUCAUAUGAAAUUUCAAUUUCAAGAAUGACAUGCAAACCAAAGGAAAUUACUGUUUUCUUUACCUAUGAACCUCCUUGUACAUUGUUAACUGCAAAACUAAAACUGUGACGUGUAAGCCAGUGAGAAUCCGAAGAAAUUGUUUUCUUCGAUUUUUUUGUCAGCCACCCUCAUUGUACAUCUGAUAUAAAAUUGCGAUGAAAUGUUCUUUUUUAACUCCCGAGUUUCAGACUAACCGCUCUAUGUACAAUAUAAUUAUUUUAUUCUUAUUUUAUUAUAUUACGCAGAAGUACCAUUAUAUUCAAGUGAUUUCAAAGAAUAAAAGAAUCAUAUUUCCAA